rnacentral:miRNA from 1 species
AUUUCUUGUGGCAUUUUAUAUGUCCAUGUGUAUCUAUGUGUGUGCAUGCAUAUGUGUGUGUGUGUAUCCGUAUGCACACAUACACACACAUAUCCCACAACACA